rnacentral:rRNA from 1 species
UACGUAGGGAGCAAGCGUUAUCCGGAUUUACUGGGUGUAAAGGGCGCGCAGGCGGGCCGGUAAGUUGGAAGUGAAAUCUAUGGGCUUAACCCAUAAACUGCUUUCAAAACUGCUGGUCUUGAGUGAUGGAGAGGCAGGCGGAAUUCCGUGUGUAGCGGUGAAAUGCGUAGAUAUACGGAGGAACACCAGUGGCGAAGGCGGUCUGCUGGACAUUAACUGACGCUGAGGCGCGAAAGCGUGGGGAGCAAACAGG